rnacentral:rRNA from 1 species
CAGUAGCCGCGGUAAUACGGAGGGUGCAAGCGUUAAUCGGAAUUACUGGGCGUAAAGCGCACGCAGGCGGUUUGUUAAGUCAGAUGUGAAAUCCCCGAGCUUAACUUGGGAACUGCAUUUGAAACUGGCAAGCUAGAGUCCUGUAGAGGGGGGUAGAAUUCCAGGUGUAGCGGUGAAAUGCGUAGAGAUCUGGAGGAAUACCGGUGGCGAAGGCGGCCCCCUGGACAAAGACUGACGCUCAGGUGCGAAAGCGUGGGGAGCAAACAGGAUUAGAUACCCCUGUAGUCCCUGUCUCUUAUAC